UGAGUGAGUGAGUGAGUGAGGGGUUUCUUUCUUCCUCUGAAAAUGAUGGAUACCCCAAAAAGACCCAGAUCAGCUCUUCACUCUCUAAGUUUGAGGAUUCUCCAGUCUUUAACUAUAUCAACAGCCUCUCCCCCAUCAAGCCAGUCAAAUCCGUGCAUGUAACUCAGACAUUCAACCAGCUUAGUUUUGCAUCACUGCCUUCUAUUUUCACUUCUCCCCAUGUCAGCUCUCACAAGGAAUCUAGGUUCCUUAAAUGCUCUACAGAUCCAUCGAAA